UGAAGUUGAAAUGAUUCCUGUUUCAUAUAUACAGCCCAAAGUCCAGAAAUAUAAUAAAGGGUAAGGAGGGAAGUGUAUUAUCUAUCCAUACUGUAAAUUCACACACUGGAACUGAUUCAGGACCAGCCUAACUCUUGCAUCCCUGCCGACUUCUACAUGGGUGUCAGGUAGGAAAAGCAAGGUCUUUUACUACACAGGCCAGGUGAUUUUGCAGCUACUGUAGCCCACGUCAGAAGUAAAGGGAAAAGAGAAAUGAUGAGAUUCCAGCCUGGUGCACAGAGGAACAUUGCUGUUACCCUCUGAAAUUCUGGGUUGCCAGGCAGAUGUAUGACAAACCAUCAGCCUCCUCUCAUGUGUCCACCAGCUUGUCCUGCUAUCCCAGCCCCUGCAGCCACAGAUCCCCAUGCUCUGAGGACCUUCAGUAAGACUUGAAAACUGCGUUUUAAGGGAUGAUCUAAAAAAAUGCUCAUAGUUGUACAUGGG